AUACGGAGGGUGCGAGCGUUACUCGGAGUCACUGGGCGUAAAGCGUCCGUAGGCGGUCGGGUAAGUCGGGUGUGAAAGCCCCGGGCUCAACCUGGGAAGUGCACCCGAUACUGCUCGACUCGAGUGCGGGAGAGGAUGGCGGAAUUCCCGGUGUAGCGGUGAAAUGCGUAGAGAUCGGGAGGAACACCAGUGGCGAAGGCGGCCAUCUGGCCCGCAACUGACGCUGAGGGACGAAAGCGUGGGGAGCAAAAAGGAUUAGAUACCCUAGUAGUCC
rnacentral:rRNA from 1 species